GAGAAAUAAUUGAGCGCAGUGAAAGCCGAGCAUUCAUUCAAGGACCUUGACUGGCAUUGCUAAAGCCUGGAUGCUCAGUGUUGAUUCUGCAGCACCACGUCAGGAGAUAAGAGGGGGAAAGUGAAAAACGAGGGGAUAGAAAGAAGGGAAAGGAAUAAAAGAAAAGGAGAAGAAGAGCGUCUGUUACGCGCUGGACUGGAGCCGUUAUUUCCUUGUUAAACAACGAAAUCACGCGAUUGAUGUUUUUUUAACCGCUGAAAACUUCAGCUUUCACUCAGAAUUCAUCUUAACUCCAGUAAAUUCGGUUUACAUUGGAUUACGUGGAUGCGUCGCACUCACCGGACCUACCCAGACGUGUAGCCGUGGUGCUUCUGGUGCGUCUUUGCGCUGGUAGCGGCUGUGAGCGUGUGUGUGUGUGUGUGUGAGAGAGAGAGAGAGGUGGUGGAGGAUCAGCCGGAGUGGCCGACCAGACAGAAGGAUGCUGGAGGGCAAUGCCUGCAGAAAGAGAGGAUGAGAUUUGUCGAAAGGCGCUGGAACUGCUCUCCGACCUGUGCUCCAAGGGAGAGGUGCAGGACGACCACUGCCUGGAUUUCAUUUACUACUUCAGGGACCUGGCCAGACCGCGAUACACGGACUCAGAUGUAUCGGUGAGCCUGUUGUCCCUGCUGGUGACCACCUGUGGUUUGGCUCUCUUCAGCGUCUCCCUCUUUGUCUCAUGGAAGUUAUGCUGGCUGCCACUGAGUGGCCGCUUUCUCCCAGAUGUCCUCAAGGGGGCGCACUUCCUGGGAGGAGACCAGCAGCCCGUCCUCACAGAGGUGGAUGGGGAGGAAAGGGAGUACAGCGAGGAUGGCUGUGUGAAAGAGCCUUCAGGACCCCCCUUGACUGUGGAUGUCCCGGAGUCAGGCCUAAAGAUAAGCCACACAUCGCCUGACAUACCAUUGGAGACCCAGGCCAAGCUGGAGAAAAAACAAUUUCACACUCUGGCCAGGGACAGGGUCCAGAGACAGAUUACUGAGCCUACCUCGUCUGUACGGCACAACUCCAUCCGUCGUCAGAUGAAUUUGUCCAAUCCAGACUUCAACCCUGCUCAGUUUCAGCGGCAAGAGUCACUGUCUGGUUUGGGUCGAAUCAAACCAGAACUCUACAAGCAGCGAUCGUUGGACGCAGAAGAUGGCAAUCGCACUGACAGCUGCGGACGUCUUUUCUUUGUCCUGAAGUUUGACUUUGACCUGGAGCAGCUGAUUGUGAAGAUCCACAAGGCCCAGGACCUUCCCGCCAAGGACUUCUCAGGGACAUCCGAUCCUUACGUCAAGAUCUACCUGCUGCCUGACCGCAAAACCAAGCACCAGACCAAGGUGCACCGUAAGACACUCAACCCAGUGUUCGAUGAGGUGUUUCUCUUUCCUGUGGCGUACGCCGAGCUGUCGAGUCGUAAGCUCCACUUCAGCGUCUACGACUUUGACAGGUUCUCUCGCCAUGACUUGAUUGGCCAAGUGGUGGUGGACAACUUCCUGGAUCUUGCCGACUUUCCCCGGGAGACAAAACUGUGCCGGGAGAUACAAUAUGUAACCUCGGACAAUGUGGACCUAGGAGAGCUGAUGUUCUCAUUGUGCUAUCUCCCCACGGCUGGCAGGCUCACCAUCACCAUGAUCAAAGCCAGAAAUCUCAAAGCCAUGGACAUCACUGGAGCUUCAGAUCCAUAUGUGAAAGUGUCCCUGAUGUGUGAAGGCCGGAGGCUAAAGAAGAGAAAGACGUCAACCAAGCGUAACACUCUGAACCCAGUGUACAAUGAGGCCAUUGUGUUUGAUGUUCCUCCUGAGAACAUCGACCAGAUUAGCCUGCUCAUAGCUGUCAUGGACUAUGAUCGGUUAAGUCGGACACAAUGAAGUGAUCGGGGUAUGCAGGGUGGGCAAUGAGGCAGAGAGCCUAGGGCGAGACCACUGGAAUGAGAUGUUGUCAUACCCACGGAAACCCAUUGCACACUGGCAUCCACUCAUAGAGUGGGUGGCACAGGGAGCGACGGGGAUUGGAAGCCAAGGGGGAUCUACCAAUUCCCUGAAGACACCACCAUCGCCAUGACCACACACACACACACACACACACACACACACACACACACACACACACACACACACACACACACACACACACACACACACACACACACACACACACACACACACACACACACACACUUCUGGGUUUCCUUCUCUCAGGGUGGUAGAACGAUAGAUGAUGGAGCUAUAUAGUCCAACUGAAAUGUUGAAACAAACAGUACAAGGUAUGACUAACAAGUGACUACAGUAGUAGCAUCAGCUUAAAGCCAUUAAACUGGUGUGUCAUUAGAUGUAUCAAGGCUUUAGUGUGCUGACUGACGCAAAAGCUAAUCCCUACUUUUUACUUCCUCUUGUGUCUCCACAACCAAAAAUCACUUAACUACAUUCCAACUGUGCUACUACAGUACUUUCAUUUGUUAUUUUAAGUUGUUAGUGACAGUAUUAACAGGCCACGCUACGUGUGAUGUGUGUGAGUGAUCAGUUAUCAUAGAUUCAGUAAGAGUUAGACCUGCAAGGUUACAGCAUUAUAAAUGACAUAGAGGGCAUUCCUCUUCAAAUCAACAAAGUUUCAGCUCUCUUGAACAUUUGUUUGGCUGUUGUCUCAAAUAUUCAAAUUUCUCAUGCAUUGUCUCAACUCUGUGGCAGCCAUGCAACGGAGAUGUUCUUAGUGUAAGCCUUAGUUUUGCCUCUAUGGGCGACUUUCUCACAGAACACUUCCUGCAAAGACGUACACUGAAGAGGAUUUGCUUCAAGAAUGUGUAAAGCAGCUGACAGAGGGAACAUAACAAGUUUUAUUUACUGCAUGUUAAAUUGUCAUACUUUGUUAACAGGGUGUGGUCAAAAAAAAGAAAACACAGGUGUUGGUGGUGGCAUUGAAAGGGGCAUUCUGCUGAUCUCCUCAAACGUAAUGUCACAGCUAAUCUCUACGACUACUGAUGAUUUUCACUGAUAUUCUUGGUUUCUAAUGUAAAUGAUAAGUGUGGUUUAUUAUAAUUUGAAUAUUAUAUUUGAUGAUGAUAAUUUAAUAUGAUAACACUGUUAAAUAAAUAGAAAAACCUUAUACUACAAAACAAAGUGCAAUAAAACUGUCAAUGCACACACUAGCAGAACAACAGCACACUUUCCCAACACCACCGAGCCCUCAUGUCCAAACCAACAAUAAAUAUAUUUUCUAUAGACCAACAUUUGCAGCCUGAUCAUACAACUGAUUAUCAAUUUUAAACUGCCUCCUCUGUAUAGCCUUACUGGACAUAACCAGAAAGGAGGACACAACUAACAAUUAAACAAAAAUGACGGACAACUAAUAUUUCUUGUUACACGCCAGGUCUACAGAAAUUAAACAGCCUGAUAAUUCUUAUACAAUUAAUAGCAGAAUAAAGCAUCAUUAAGGCUGACAAUAUGUAGAUUUAUUAACUGCAAAGCGAAUGCAGCCCACAAACACACAUAGGCUUGCCAGUAAUUAGUAUUUCCUUUGCCAUGAGAAGAGUGACUGGAUUGUUUCCAUUCUGAAAACACACUUGCAGCAGCCCUAUUUAACUGUAAUUGGACUUAAUGUUCUUCCUUUAGACCACACCCUGCAGUGUUUGUUUUUUGAAAUUCAGAUUAAUACCAGUAUUGUUUAUGUCUUUGUAUUGGACACUGCCACAAAUAACAAUGACAGUUUCUUCUGUGUUCGUAGGUACAGUGCAUGCAUCAUUUUCCGUGAGUCAUUUUUAUAUCUCUCUUCUGUUGUGAGAUACUAAUCGAAUUGUAAACACAAGAUGUAUUAUGAACUUAAGGCAGACUGUGUAAAUUGUCCAUUCAGAUGUUAUUAAUAAAUAUUUCUAUAUAUAG